rnacentral:rRNA from 1 species
GUGAGGAAUUGUUCGCAAUGGGCGCAAGCCUGACGACGCAACGCCGCGUGGAGGACGAAGAUCUUCGGGUCGUAAACUCCUGUCGAGCGGGACGAACCUCACCCGGGUCAAUACCCCGGGUGCCUGACGGUACCGCUAAAGGAAGCCCCGGCUAACUCCGUGCCAGCAGCCGCGGUAAUACGGGGGGGGCAAGCGUUGUUCGGAAUUACUGGGCGUAAAGAGCUCGUAGGCGGCCAACUAAGUCGGACGUGAAAUCCCUCGGCUUAACCGAGGAACUGCGUCCGAGACUGGCUGGCUUGAAGCCGGGAGAGGGAUGCGGAAUUCCAGGUGUAGCGGUGAAAUGCGUAGAUAUCUGGAGGAACACCGGUGGCGAAGGCGGCAUCCUGGACCGGUCUUGACGCUGAGGAGCGAAAGCCAGGGGAGCAAACGGG